AGUGAACGCUGGCGGUAGGCCUAACACAUGCAAGUCGAACGGCAGCACAGUAAGAGCUUGCUCUUACGGGUGGCGAGUGGCGGACGGGUGAGGAAUACAUCGGAAUCUACUUUUUCGUGGGGGAUAACGUAGGGAAACUUACGCUAAUACCGCAUACGACCUACGGGUGAAAGCAAGGGAUCUUCGGACCUUGCGCGAUUGAAUGAGCCGAUGUCGGAUUAGCUAGUUGGCGGGGUAAAGGCCCACCAAGGCGACGAUCCGUAGCUGGUCUGAGAGGAUGAUCAGCCACACUGGAACUGAGACACGGUCCAGACUCCUACGGGAGGCAGCAGUGGGGAAUAUUGGACAAUGGGCGCAAGCCUGAUCCAGCCGUACCGCGUGGGUGAAGAAGGCCUUCGGGUUGUAAAGCCCUUUUGUUGGGAAAGAAAAGCAGCAGGUUAAUACCCCGCUGUUCUGACGGUACCCAAAGAAUAAGCACCGGCUAACUUCGUG
rnacentral:rRNA from 1 species